rnacentral:rRNA from 1 species
CCUACGGGUGGCAGCAGUGAGGAAUAUUGGUCAAUGGGAGAGAGCCUGAACCAGCCAAGCAGCGUGAGGGAAGACGGCCCUAUGGGUUGUAAACUGCUUUUGUCGGGGAACAAAACCCGGGACGUGUCCCGGACUGCGGGUACCCGAAGAAAAAGCAUCGGCUAACCCCGUGCCAGCAGCCGCGGUAAUACGGAGGAUGCGAGCGUUAUCCGGAUUUAUUGGGUUUAAAGGGUGCGUAGGCGGUCCGUUAAGUCAGCGGUAAAAUUGCGGGGCUCAACCCCGGCGUGCCGUUGAAACUGGCAGACUUGAGUUGGCGAGAGGUACGCGGAAUGCGCGGUGUAGCGGUGAAAUGCAUAGAUAUCGCGCAGAACUCCGAUUGCGAAGGCAGCGUACCGGCGCCAGACUGACGCUGAGGCACGAAAGCGUGGGGAUCGAACAGGAUUAGAUACCCUUGUAGUC